UGGGCGCAGGCGCAUUGGGAGCAGCGGAGACAGCGCCGAUACACCUGUGCACCCAAGCGGUCAUUUCAUUAGACACACCUGCCAGCUGACUGGCACCACUGGAAACAACACAUUUUCCUCACUGCAUCUCUUCACAUUUCCAGCAAACAGUAAGGGCAGACCCUGGCCCGCCACCGUUUUCCUCAUGCCUGGCUUCACCACGUCGGUGAUCUUCAUGUUGCAUGUGUUGCCAUCGAUGGUGGACACGGUCACUGAGCAUCCACACAACGACUGCAGAGAAAACAAGAGAAACAGUGAGUUGACAAGUCAUGAAACUCCACCCGGGAAUGUUCUGAAACAGGCAGGAUAGUGCCUGUGUGUAGGGGAAAAAGCCCCUUUCACAUUCCCCAAACGACCUGGAAUCCAA